AUUGAACGCUGGCGGCAGGCCUAACACAUGCAAGUCGAACGAGUGGCGGACGGGUGAGUAAUGUCUGGGAAACUGCCCGAUGUAGGGGGAUAACUCCUGGAAACGGUAGCUAAUACCGCAUACCAUCGGAUGUGCCCAGAUGGGAUUAGCUAGUAGGUGGGGUAACGGCUCACCUAGGCGACGAUCCCUAGCUGGUCUGAGAGGAUGACCAGCCACACUGGAACGGAGACACGGUCCAGACUCCUACGGGAGGCAGCAGUGGGGAAUAUUGGACAAUGGGCGCAAGCCUGAUGCAGCCAUGCGGCGUGUAUGAAGAAGGCCGUCGGGUUGGAAAGUACUUUCAGCGAGGAGGCGUUACUCGCAGAAGAAGCACCGGCUAACUCCGUGCCAGCAGCCGCGGUAAUAC
rnacentral:rRNA from 1 species